rnacentral:misc_RNA from 1 species
GAUGAAGAACUUAGCGAAAUGCGAUACGUAAUGUGAAUUGCAGAAUUCAGUGAAUCAUCGAGUCUUUGAACGCACAUUGCGCCCCCUGGUAUUCCGGGGGGCAUGCCUGUCCGAGCGUCAUUGCUGCCCUCAAGCACGGCUUGUGUGUUGGGCCUCCGUCCUCCUCCCGGGGGACGGGCCCGAAAGGCAGCGGCGGCACCGCGUCCGGUCCUCGAGCGUAUGGGGCUUCGUCACCCGCUCUUGUAGGCCCGGCCGGCGCUUGCCGAAACAUCAAUCUUUUUUCCAGGUUGACCUCGGAUCAGGUAGGGAUACCCGCUGAACUUAAGCAUAUCAAUAAGCGGAGGA